CAUUAAAUAGCUUAAAUUAAAGCAUAGGCCUCUUAAGCCUUAAGAUACAAAAUGUUUUAAUGU
rnacentral:tRNA from 1 species